CGUUAUUGGAGGCAUUGCCUGCCCAGUGACAACUGUUUAACGGCCGCGGUAUCCUGACCGUGCAAAGGUAGCAUAAUCAUUUGUUCUCUAAAUAAGGACUUGUAUGAAUGGCCGCACGAGGGUUUUACUGUCUCUUACUUCCAAUCAGUGAAAUUGACCUUCCCGUGAAGAGGCGGGAAUGCACAAAUAAGACGAGAAGACCCUAUGGAGCUUUAACUAACCAACCCAAAGAGAAUAGAUUUAACCAUUAAGGAAUAACAACAAUCUCCAUGAGUUGGUAGUUUCGGUUGGGGUGACCUCGGAGAAUAAAAAAUCCUCCGAGCGAUUUUAAAGACUAGACCCACAAGUCAAAUCACUCUAUCGCUCAUUGAUCCAAAAACUUGAUCAACGGAACAAGUUACCCUAGGGAUAACAGCGCAAUCCUAUUCAAGAGUCCAUAUCGACAAUAGGGUUUACGACCUCGAUGUUGGAUCAGGACAUCCUGAUGGUGCAACCGCUAUCAAAGGUUCGUUUGUUCAACGAUUAAAGUCCUACGUGAUCUGAGUUCAGACCGGA
rnacentral:rRNA from 1 species